rnacentral:rRNA from 1 species
AUACGUAGGGGGCGAGCGUUGUCCGGAAUGAUUGGGCGUAAAGGGCGCGUAGGCGGCGCGGUAAGUCUGGAGUGAAAGUCCUGCUUUCAAGGUGGGAAUUGCUUUGGAUACUGCCGCGCUUGAGUGCAAGAGAGGUUAUCGGAAUACCCGGUGUAGCGGUGAAAUGCGUAGAGAUCGGGAGGAACACCAGUGGCGAAGGCGGGUAACUGGACUGCAACUGACGCUGAGGCGCGAAAGUGUGGGGAGCAAACAGGAUUAGAUACCCUGGUAGUCCACACUGUAAACGAUGAAUGCUAGGUGUAAGAGGUAUCGACCCCUUUUGUGCCGGAGUCAACACAAUAAGCAUUCCGCCUGGGGAGUACGGCCGCAAGGUUGAAACUCAAAUGAAUUGACGGGG